AGAAGAGAUGGAGCUGAUUUCAGCUUCUGCUGUGAUGAAGAUUGUCAUGUUGCCUCUGUGUCAAGGAAGAGACUAACAAUGGACCCACUCGAGAUGACGUCAGUGUCUUCCCUGGCCUCCCGCCCGCUGUUCGCCUCUGUAUGUCAGGAGCAUGCACCCCAUUGAAGGACACAUUUGGGCUGAUCGCAGCAUCUUCCAUGGUCAUAGCCCUGUGGUUGCAUCGCUGUGUGAGGAGCAUGGAGAGUCACGUGAGUAAUGGUCAGUGUUCUUGGAUUGGAUUGGUUGUUUUAAAAAAAUUAUUUUUUUAUUAUU